ensembl:lncRNA
UUAUCACAACUAAAGUGGCCAAAUAACUCCUUAAAACGAAGCACAGGGAGCGCAGGUAGUCUAGUGGUUAGAGUGUAGGGGCGGCAGGUAGCCUAGUGGUUAGAGCGUAGGGGCGGCAGGUAGCCUAGUGGUUAGAGCGUAGGGGCGGCAGGUAGCCUAGUGGUUAGAGCGUAGGGGCAGCAGGUAGCCUAGUGGUUAAAGUGUAGGGGCGGCAGGUAGCCUAGUGGUUAGAGUGUAGGGGCGGCAGGUAGCCUAGUGGUUAGAGUGUAGGGGCGGCAGGUAGCCUAGUGGUUAGAGUGUAGGGGCGGCAGGUAGCCUAGUG